UUUUACAUAGUUUAAUUAAAACAUUGAGUUGUGGUCUCAGAGAUGAUUAAUAUCUUAAAAU
rnacentral:tRNA from 1 species